rnacentral:rRNA from 1 species
GACGAACGCUGGCGGCGUGCUUAACACAUGCAAGUCGAACGAAGUGGCGAACGGGUGAGUAACGCGUAAUCAACCUGCCCUUCAGAGGGGGAUAACAGUUGGAAACGACUGCUAAUACCGCAUACUGAAGGAGGAGAUUGCGUCUGAUUUGCUAGUUGGGGGGGGAACGGCCUACCAAGGCGAUGAUCAGUAGCCGGUUGGACAGGAUGAACGGCCAAAUUGGGACUGAGACACGGCCCAGACUCCUACGGGAGGCAGCAGUGGGGAAUCUUCCGAAAUGGACGAAAGUCUGACGGAGCAACGCCGCGUGAGUGAUGACGGCCUUCGGGUUGUAAAGCUAUGUUAAUCGGGACGCGGUACCGGAAUAGAAAGCCACGGCUAACUACGUGCCAGCAGCCGCGGUAAUAC